AUUUGUUCUUCUUGUCUAGAUUCUGUUAAAACUAGUCCAAAACAAAUCAGAAGAAAGCUAAGCACUGUAUGUUGUUCCCGAAGGAGAUUUCCUAAGGCUUUCCCAGAAAUGCUGUGGGCUUAUUUUAUUCCAGCAAUGACUCAAAGAGGGAUAAUCAGCUGUUUUUUAAGUUGUAGGUAUCAAGUUUCUGCUCUUGUUCAGGCUUAAUUAGAUUGUGGAAUAUGGCUGUCUGGGUAUUUGCAUUAGUGUGACUGAAAAUGAGCUCUCUUCUCCAACAGGUAUUUCAGCAUGGAGGCAGUGUUUCACUGCCAUGCAGCGCCAGCCCUGUAAUGCUGAAGGCAUGCCAGACGUAGAAAUAAAAGGACCUUGUUCUGUUUCAACUUCAGCUUUGCCCAGCAUCACACACUGACACUGGAGGUCUUCCAAGAAUGUGUGCCACAGGCCCUGCUAAAGCAGAUACCCAAAGCACAUAACUACUGCACAGCUUUGUGCUGUAACAAAGCUACUCCCAUGCAUGCAUGUUUAUAAAGUCACUACUGAAUAAUGAAAGGACAUUUGAAAACAUCUCUAUCCAAAGACAUAUGAAAUGCAUGUUGUUUUGGUUUUUUUCACACUAAAUUUAAGUGAAGAAUAUAGUAGAAGUAGCAGCAGAAGAUAAAAUUUGCUUUAGGAGAGUUACAUAAAAGGAGGAAAAGAAGCUACAACCAACAACUCCUAAAUGGAUCACAGGAGGCUGAAGAUCCUCUUUGCUGAAAUGCAGCCACGAGACUCACUUUGGGGCUGACGCAUUACCUGCUGCAGAAGCUUAUCUGGAAAUGACUAAGAUAGGUCCAAUGGUCUGACAGUUAUGAUGCAGUCUGGGAAGUAUGUUAACUGCAGAGUUGCUGAACCAAACUGUUUUGCCAGCCUUUGCUCAAGAACCUGUUUAGUAAGUGAAAGCUGCACCAAGAAACGUCUCCAGUUCAUGGAAUCAAAUAGCUAACAGACACUAGAGGUACAACAUGUUCUUCAAGCUUGAACUUGAAGGUUGCACUUGAGGGGUGCAAAGCAGGGUGCACAUGGAGGCAGGAUACUGCAUCCCAGGUGUGAUGCAAUGGUUAAUUCCAAAAUACCUCAAAGAAGCCAGCUGGAAGCCUAGCUAGGUAAUGUCUGUAACCACCAUGGGCUCAUG